UGGAAUGCAGUUGGGCCAAGAGAGGAUGUCGCCUUAAUGAGAAUACUUGAAUAAAAUGAGGAAGGACAAGCCUCCUUCCUCUUUAAAAAGAAAAAGAGAGAUUUGAUCCACGGCCUGCAUCAAAGGAAGAAAAUGAAAUUAACGAUUUUGACAGGAGUUUAUUCUGCUGAGCUGUUUCCGAGUUCUUUGAUGGCUUCCUUUCUGACGUGGCAUUUCUGUUUCCUUUUGCAAGAAGGUGGUAUUUAUUCCUCGAAAAUGGAUUAUAUAGCCCACACUGAGAGUUAGAGAAACCUUCAAGGUAGCUACUUGCUGCAAGAGUGAUUCAGCAACUGACUGGUGUGAUGGGCUGAAUCGGGCCUCCCACCUCCCAAAUUCAGAUGUCGAAGCAGCCCUACCCUUCACUUCCUCAGAGCACGACUGUAUUUGGAGAUAGGGCCUUUCUUUAAAGAGGGGACUAAAUUACAGCGAGGGCAUUAGGGUGGGCUGUAAUCCAAUCUCACUGGAGUCCUCAGAGAAAAGGGAACACUUGGACACACAAAGAGACAGCAGGCAUGUGUGUGCGCAGAGGAAAGACCUUGAGGACACAUUCAGAGGGUGGCAGUCUGCACGCCUAGCAGAGAGAACUCAGAAGAACCAACUGCCGACGUCUUGAUCUUGGACUUCCAGCUUCUGUAACUGUGAAAAGGUAUAAAGCUAAACUAUGUUUCCUAGCCUCUUUUGCAAUGAGGUGGCUCAUGUCUCUUCAAUGGAAACAAGAUCUGGACUUAGACACAUGGCUGUGCACCCAGAGAAGAAAGAGAACUAGUGAAUCUGGAUUCAGCCGAGGAAAGAAAACUUGCUUUCCUCAGUCAAGGAGGUGCACAGACUGGUGAUGCUGCCUGUCAUCUGCCAGGAACAGCUGUGUCCUUAGCCACCAACGGGCAAGAUGGCGGCAUACCUGCCAGCAACCACCCUGGCUCUUGUGGCUGGACGGCCUUCGAGGGAGAAAGACAUUCAGGUCCUCUCCGCUCUUCCGGUCUGUGAAGUGGGGCAACAGAGAAAAAAUGUCUCACGGUACCUGAAUAAUGAAAACAUGGUUUCGUGUUCUUUUUACCUAGGGUAUUGUGUGCCAUUCCAUCUUCAUGUCAUAUCAUAUGGUACCUAUGUAUGAUGAUGUGAUA